rnacentral:rRNA from 1 species
UACGGAGGGUGCGAGCGUUAAUCGGAAUAACUGGGCGUAAAGGGCACGCAGGCGGUGACUUAAGUGAGGUGUGAAAUCCCCGGGCUUAACCUGGGAAUUGCAUUUCAUACUGGGUCGCUAGAGUAUUUUAGGGAGGGGUAGAAUUCCACGUGUAGCGGUGAAAUGCGUAGAGAUGUGGAGGAAUACCGAAGGCGAAGGCAGCCCCUUGGGAAUAUACUGACGCUCAUGUGCGAAAGCGUGGGGAGCAAACAGG